rnacentral:rRNA from 1 species
UCGGGAAUUUUGGGCAAUGGGCGAAAGCCUGAUCCAGCCAUGCCGCGUGUGUGAAGAAGGUCUUCGGAUUGUAAAGCACUUUAAGUUGGGAGGAAGGGCAGUUACCUAAUACGUAUCUGUUUUGACGUUACCGACAGAAUAAGCACCGGCUAACUCUGUGCCAGCAGCCGCGGUAAUACAGAGGGUGCAAGCGUUAAUCGGAAUUACUGGGCGUAAAGGGCGCGUAGGCGGUGUGUCAAGUCAUCUGUGAAAUCUCCGAGCUUAACUCGGAACGGUCAGAUGAUACUGCUGUGCUAGAGUACAGAAAGGGCAAUCGGAAUUCUUGGUGUAGCGGUGAAAUGCGUAGAUAUCAAGAGGAACACCUGAGGCGAAGGCGGGUUGCUAGGCUGAUACUGACGCUGAGGCGCGAAAGCUAGGGUAGCAAACGGGAUUAGAUACCCCCGUAGUCCCUGAGCGGGCUGGCAAGGCGCAU